GAUUGAUUAGGCAUGCAAGUCAAACGAGAAAGGUUUCGCAAGAGCCGAGUAAAGUGGCGGAAGGGCGAGUAAUGCGUAGAUAACCUACCCCUGAGAUGGGAAUAACCAUUCGAAAGGAUGGCUAAUACCCAAUAAGACCACGAAUCGCAUGAUUUGUGUUUAAAGAUAGGGACCCGCAAGGGCCUUUCGCUAAGGGAGGGGUUUAUGUCCUAUCAGCUAGUUGGUGAGGUAACGGCUCACCAAGGCUCUGACGGGUAGCCGACCUGAGAGGGUGACCGGCCGCACUGGGACUGAGACACUGCCCAGACUCCUACGGGAGGCUGCAGUCGAGGAUCUUCCGCAAUGCGCGAAAGCGUGACGGAGCGACGCCGCGUGGGUGAUGAAGGCCUUCGGGUUGUAAAGCCCUGUCGCCUGGGAAGAAUGGCGGGAGGUGAAUAGCCAUCUCGUCUGACGCUACCAGGGAAGGAAGCACCGGCUAAAUACGUGCCAGCAGCCGCGGUAAUACGUAUGGUGCGAACGUUGUUCGGAAUUACUGGGCAUAAAGAGCACGUAGGCGGUUGAGCAAGUCCAUUGUGAAAUCCCCCGGCUUAACCGGGGAACUGCAGUGGAUACUACUUGACUUGAGUGCAGGAGGGGAGAGUGGAAUUCCAGAUGGAGCGGUGAAAUGCGUAGACAUCUGGAGGAACGCCGGUGGCGAAAGCGACUCUCUGGUCUGCAACUGACGCUGAGGUGCGAAAGCUAGGGGAGCAAACGGGAUUAGAUACCCCGGUAGUCCUAGCCCUAA
rnacentral:rRNA from 1 species